rnacentral:Y_RNA from 1 species
GGCUGGUCUGAAGGUAGUGAGUUAUCUCAUUUGAUUGUUCACAGUCAGUUACAGAACUCCUUGUUCUACCGCUUUCCCCCCUUCUCACUGUUGCACUUGAGUAGUCAAAG